rnacentral:misc_RNA from 1 species
UUAUUAAAUUAACUUUUUACUCCGACGUAAGAAUGCAGUGUUUUGAUGACCUCCGGGGGGAAUGCCGCGAACGGCAGGGUCGCCCCCGAAGCAACAAGAUGUGUUCACAAAGGGUUGGAGGUCGGGAUUGCUCCCUCACUCAGUAAUGAUCCCUCCGCAGGUUCACCUACGGAGA